rnacentral:rRNA from 1 species
UACGAAGGGGGCGAGCGUUGUUCGGAAUUACUGGGCGUAAAGGGCGCGUAGGCGGCGACCCAAGUCAGAUGUGAAAGUCCUGGGCGUAACCUGGGGACUGCAUUUGAUACUGGGUUGCUUGAAUUCGGGAGAGGAUAGCGGAAUUCCCAGUGUAGAGGUGAAAUUCGUAGAUAUUGGGAAGAACACCGGUGGCGAAGGCGGCUAUCUGGACCGACAUUGACGCUGAGGCGCGAAAGCGUGGGGAGCAAACAGG